AUGGCUUCUUCAAAACUACAAGCCUUCUGGAAUCACCCUGCUGGCCCCAAAACCAUUCAUUUCUGGGCUCCAACAUUUAAAUGGGGAAUCAGCAUAGCAAACGUUGCCGACUUUGCUAAGCCUCAUGAAAAGAUAUCCUAUCCACAGCAAGUAGUUAUUGCUUGCACUGGAAUUAUUUGGUCACGCUAUAGCAUGGUUAUCACACCGAGAAACUGGAACCUUUUCAGCGUUAGCGUUGCGAUGUCCGGUACAGGCCUAUACCAGCUUUCUCGUAAAAUAAGGAAAGAUUACUUCUCGGGUGCUGAAAAGGAGGCCGUUGCUGCAUCACUGGAACUGGAAGUAUAG
rnacentral:rRNA from 1 species